rnacentral:lncRNA from 1 species
CCAGGCCAUAACAUGUUUCAAGAAAAUGAAGUCCUUUGUUACAGAAAUGCAUAUGCAGUCGCAUGGCAUCAGAGAAACUAGACAAUAUAGAUCGUUAUGACAUCUUAACUCUGGCAGUUAGCUACAGUUCGGUCAUACUGUUCUAUGCUAGUUAUGAAAUGCCAUUUAGCGAUCAACGCUGCACAGAAGGACUCAGCCUAGAACACAAAGACUUAUCUGGAAAGUGUUCUUAUGCAACAGAGAACUGGAAAAAAAAAAAAAAAGCUACUCCUAAUUUUCCCCGAAUUCUCCAAUCAUCCUUCUGUGUACAUCCGAAGAUGUACAAGAUCCUUUAUAUCUUCAAAAUAAGGGAUGUCUCUAAACACAUUCUCAUUUCCUGAGAGAACUGGUGCAAUUGUUCUACAAAUCUUCUCAUCAAGAGACAUCCUCAAGUGAG